rnacentral:tRNA from 1 species
GAGGGUAGAGCUCAGUGGUAGAGCACAUGCUUAGCAUGCAGGUGGUCCUGGGUUCAAUCCUUGGUAUCUCCA